CCGAAACGUUGGCCGUGAAAAUGACAAUGACAACUAAAAUAAUUGCUUUCAUUUUUUUGAUUCUUUAUGUGGAUUUGCUCAAUUCGCAAGAAAUUGAUAAGCGUUUUUUUGACACAAUGAAGAAAAUCAAAAUGAAGAAUGGGACUUUGACAGGUGAUAGUGAUAAGUCUCGGAGUGGCACAAUGACGUUUCAUGAAAUGCACAGUCAUCAGCAUAGACACCACGGAAGAGGGGGACAUGCCAUAAGACAUGGAAAAAAAUUCGUGAAACGUUUAACUACGAGUUAAAUUAAUUAUGAUGUUAAUUAGAUCCAAUAGAGAGCGAACGGUGUUUCACGCACCGCACAAUAAUCCUUUGUUCCUUAAUUGGGUGAUAAAUUAAAUUAAGAUGCUCCAAACUCAA